CCUCAAUUCCAGCAGGCAAUUCAAGCAGAAGCUGCCAUCUUUUCUCAUAUGGCCUUCCUAUUGGCUGGCCUGCAGAUGAGCAUCUGACCUAAACUGACCAAUCAGGGUUCUUCUCUGUGUAACCAUCUGUUCUGCCUUGAAACAGCCCCGAGGCUGGUCAUAUGUCCGUUUGUUCAGGAAGGGACCAUUAGAGGUCCUUCGCACAGAUGAGAGCUGGGGAAAUGCCUGUGUGUAGACACGUGUCCCCGAGGCCCGGAUGUUCUCCAGUACCUUCCCUGCUAACCCGAGGAUUAAAUGUGAACUCACACGACAAAGAAACCUUCACUCAGCUGCCUGGGGUAUUUCAUUACAGUGAUGCACGGCUGGACGACAACCCACCUCAUCAGGGAAAUAACUGAAAAGGUCUAGCCAGGCCUCGCCUUUGUUUCUGCUUUGGCCUUCCUCUCUGCCUAUAGAGCCAGCCACCUCUGCUCUGCUCACCUACAUACACUCUUUCUUUUUCUUUUCCUUCUUUCUUUUUUGAAACAAUAUCUGUUGUAGCUAAGAAUGACCCAGAAGCAGCUAAGGAUGACCCAGAAGCCUGCCUCCACCUAAGCUGUGAAGAUGUUUCCUCCAGACUGAAACAUUCCAUGCUCCCGGAAAGCUCUUUAAGACAGCAAGUAGACAGUUCAGAACAGCUUCAGGAAGUCCCUGUAACUGACCAGAUUCACUAGACCUCUCCCUCCCCAAAAGCAAAGGCCAAGGAAUGCUGGGAGUGGUCACUCUCAAGACAAGUGGAGCAGCCUGGAAGAGGCUUAGACCAGCUGGACCUUCUGAAAGGACACUCUUCAGCUUGCUGAGCCCUGUACAAGAUGUGCAGUGUGCACCAGGUUCCCAACUUUGUGAGCUGUCACCCACACUGGUGGUGCAGCUGUCUUUGAGCCAUUUCUGUUCCUGUAAGUAACCCCUCACCCAUAUUCCUAUAAGUAACCCCAAUUAAACUCAUUGACUCAUCAA